rnacentral:rRNA from 1 species
AUUGAACGCUGGCGGCAGGCUUAACAAAUGCAAGUCGAGCGGGGUGAUGGUGCUUGCACUAUCACUUAGCGGCGGACGGGUGAGUAAUGCUUAGGAAUCUGCCUAUUAGUGGGGGACAACAUCUCGAAAGGGAUGCUAAUACCGCAUACGUCCUACGGGAGAAAGCAGGGGAUCACUUGUGACCUUGCGCUAAUGGAUGAGCCUAAGUCGGAUUAGCUAGUUGGUGGGGUAAAGGCCUACCAAGGCGACGAUCUGUAGCGGGUCUGAGAGGAUGAUCCGCCACACUGGGACUGAGACACGGCCCAGACGCCUACGGGGGGCAGCAGUGGGGAAUAUUGGACAAUGGGGGGAACCCUGAUCCAGCCAUGCCGCGUGUGUGAAGAAGGCCUUAUGGUUGUAAAGCACUUUAAGCGAGGAGGAGGCUCUUUUGGUUAAUACCCAAGAUGAGUGGACGUUACUCGCAGAAUAAGCACCGGCUAACUCUGUGCCAGCAGCCGCAGUAA